rnacentral:rRNA from 1 species
GAUGAACGCUGGCGGCGUGCCUAAUACAUGCAAGUCGAGCGAACGGACGAGAAGCUUGCUUCUCUGAUGUUAGCGGCGGACGGGUGAGUAACACGUGGAUAACCUACCUAUAAGACUGGGAUAACUUCGGGAAACCGGAGCUAAUACCGGAUAAUAUUUUGAACCGCAUGGUUCAAAAGUAAAAGACGGUCUUGCUGUCACUUAUAGAUGGAUCCGCGCUGCAUUAGCUAGUUGGUAAGGUAACGGCUUACCAAGGCAACGAUGCAUAGCCGACCUGAGAGGGUGAUCGGCCACACUGGAACUGAGACACGGUCCAGACUCCUACGGGAGGCAGCAGUAGGGAACCUUCCGCAAUGGGCGAAAGCCUGACGGAGCAACGCCGCGUGAGUGAUGAAGGUCUUCGGAUCGUAAAACUCUGUUAUUAGGGAAGAACAUAUGUGUAAGUAACUGUGCACAUCUUGACGGUACCUAAUCAGAAAGCCACGGCUAACUACGUG